AGACCACUUAGUUAAAUUCCCUCCAAAACUCUGUAGCAACACAACUUUUUACCUCAGACUCAGCUGUCAAUCAGAGGCUGCAACCUUUUAACCCCUGCUGAGCUUAGAGGGAACACAGAACAAACCAAAGAAAACAAUCCACAAAACAUAAAGGGAAGGAGCCAUUCCUUCACAGGAAUGCAUGCAUUCUACAUGCAUUCAUUUAAAAAGUGAACCCAGCAAAGCACAAGUCAGCAAAUGUAGACAGAAGAAAAUCAUGACAUUUAUGUCUGUUAUCACCCAAAUCAGUUGCCAUAAAAAAGAAGAGCUGCGAAAGAAUGAGAGACAUGCCAUUGUUGAAUGAUGUGCUAUAAAAAGAGUGAGAAAAAUGAUACCAAAAUCUCUAAGCAGAAAAAAGGAAGAAUGACAAAGUGGAGAACUUCUUUAUCAGCUUGGUCUCUUGGAAUAAUCAGAUAGGAACAAAAGGGAAAGGAGAACAAACUGACAAUCCUUUGUGUACUAUACAAUUGGAAAGCAAGGUUUUCCAAAUGCCGAAGAUAAAAAGUCAUGAACACCAACUAUUAAACAGCCAUCAGUUAUGAAGUUUCCAAAUGGAUAUUUAAGAACAGAAUAGACUGCAGGGAAAGGCAGGAGGAUGCAAAUUAAUUCCUGCAGUCUCCACCACAUGAU